UGGGCUUUGGUGUAACUGGAAACAUGCGGGUCUCUGAAAUCCGUGCUUGGGGUUCGAUUCCCUGCGGCCCAACCA
rnacentral:tRNA from 1 species